AAAACACUUUGCAGAGCAGCUGACAUUGAAAUGCUGGUUUGUAUGGAAACAAGAAUCUGCAGCCACAGCAAGUAAGGCUGUAAGGCUGUACUUUGAGCUAAAUGCCAUUGUCAGCAUGGCAACAUGCUAACAAUAACAAUUUAUCAUGCUGACGUUUAGCAGAUGGUUAGGAAGGCUAUUCCACAAGCGGAAGAGCAGAAGGCUUGAUCCCCCCUACUGUGGAGCUUAGUACUGGGGGCCGUACUGGGGACCUGGCAUUACAGCCCGUGCAUGCUGGUGUUGUGCAUGCCCCUCCACCUCCCCAUCUCUCCGCAGGUUCAUAAGUCUCAUCACUUCAUCAGCCUAUCAGUCUCAACAGAAGUCAUCAGCCACCACCACCACUAAUGUCUGGACUCCAUGGGGAGAUCUGUCUCGCGGCUGUUCAGGGAUGAUGUCCUGUGGAG